rnacentral:tRNA from 71 species
GCGCCCUUAGCUCAGCUGGAUAGAGCACCUCCCUUCUAAGGAGGUGGUCGAAGGUUCGAAUCCUUCAGGGCGUGCCA